UACGGGGGGGGCAAGCGUUGUUCGGAAUCACUGGGCGUAAAGCGCGCGCAGGCGGUCCUUUAAGUCAGGGGUGAAAGCCCAGAGCUCAACUCUGGAACUGCCUUUGAAACUAGAGGACUUGGGUACGGGAGAGGUGAGUGGAAUUCCGAGUGUAGAGGUGAAAUUCGUAGAUAUUCGGAAGAACACCAGUGGCGAAGGCGGCUCACUGGCCCGGUACUGACGCUGAUGUGCGAAAGCGUGGGGAGCAAACAGG
rnacentral:rRNA from 1 species